rnacentral:lncRNA from 1 species
AAUAUAUACAUAUUAAAAGUGCACUUAAUAUGCGCUUAUGUUUCAUGUUUCCUUACUACAUCACACUCUUCUGUUGUGCUUCCAGCUCACCUACUGUCAUCAAACCCAGGUGCAUUUACAAAUACGCACACUUUCUUCUUGUGAGCCUCUUGACUAGAGGUGAAUAUUCAAAUUGAAAAGUGCCCUGCAGCCCAGUCCUCUGUGUUGUGUCCUCCCUGCAGUGCUGCAAGGAGCCUCUGGGAGUUCCAGGGAGAAGAGACCUGUCCCCUUUUGGAGAUCUUUGCUACUGGUGACGACCUUCAAACAAGUCAAGCAGACAAAGCAGGAGCUCAGAAGUUUUACAUCAAGCCUCCACUGGAGCUUUGCAGUCCACCAUUCAGAGCCUAGACAAGAGUUCAGCACUGCGCUUUUUCAGAUCACACAAAGGAAGCGACGAGACUCCCACAUCUUUCAGCGAGAAGAAAGGAGGCAGUGGAGCAGACUAAUACGGACUUGUGUCUGGUGGCCUUGCAGUACAAAGGCUGCCUUUAAAAGAGAAGCGCAGCGUUAUUUAAUGAGCUGUGAGAUGAGGCGCUGCUGCUAACGCUCAGAUCCCUGGAUUCAUCGGCUAUUCAUUGUGCUUAAUGUACAUGUUUCUACACCGUGCGUUUAGGAGAUCCCAGAGAAGAAUCCAAAACGGCUG